GGAGUUGUAGCUCAGUAGUAGAGCACUUGCCUAGCAUACAUGAGGCACUGGGUUCAAUCCUCAGCACCA
rnacentral:tRNA from 1 species